rnacentral:lncRNA from 13 species
CAAAGAAAUUGAUUGUCUCAUGGUACUAGAGGCCAGAAGCCCAAAAUCAAGGCGUUGGCAGGGCCACGCUCCCUCCAAAGGCUCCCACAGAGGAUCCUUCCUUGCCUCAUCCAGCUUUUGGUGGCCCCAUGCACUUCUUGGCUUGUGGCUGUACCAUUCCAAUAUCUGCCUCUGUUUUCUCACGGCCUUCUUCUCUUCUCUACAAGUCUCUUCUUUCUGUGACCUGCAUAAGGACACUUAUCACUGGAUUUAGGGCCCACCUGGAUAAUCCAGGAUGAUCUCAUCUCAAGAUCCUUAAUCAUAUCUGCAAAGCCCUUUUUCUAAAUAAGGUCACUCUUGCAGCUUCUGGGGUUUAGGACAUGAACACAUCUUAGUGGGGGCUACCGUUCCAACCAUUACACUUCCAUGUGCCCUUGGCCAACGGCAAUGGAGAACAAACCCUGCUUUUUGGUCCACCCAAAGGCCGCCCUUUCUUUGGGCACAUCUGCCAGAGUGAAGCGAGAGCAGGCUGGGCUUGCUGGCUGUGCGGAUUCGGCUUCAGUGCCCGCCCAAUCCUUCCUCCGUGCCGUGCUCCCUCCGUGUAUACUCGGGCAAGCCGCUCUCCAAGGCCACAGCAUCCUCUGCAGCAAAAGUGGAGUGGCAGCAGUUCCUGCCUCAAAAGACUUUUGUUAGGACGGCUGGCGUCCAUAGAUUGGAAGCUCCCAAAACAGUGCUUGAUACCUACCAGCAGAUAGAGUGAUGUGUUGGCUCUCAUUACCUCUCCAAGCCAUCUCCGGGUAAACCUCUGGCUUCUUUUUCUGCUGAGAUUUCUUUUCUUUUCAUCUCAGCUUUUGGUCCUGCCCACUUAGGCUAAGAAGUGUACUGACAACAGUCUUUGAAAAUUGCCAGCAAACGCCUCUUUUCCAGCUCUGCUUUAGUAACAUCACAUUUCAGUCUCUCAAACAAACUCCCCUGACCCUGCUUCCCCCGAAGUCACUUGGAAACACAAACAUUAAGGCUGUGUACUUUGGUGUUGGAGGUGGUUUAUGAUUUGGGCCUAGGGCUCUCUUCCCCCAAUAAUAAGCACAGAAGAGGAAGGGGUGAUGGCUGGCAGGAGUUUCUGUUGGAGAAGUUUCUGCUAACAGUGGCCUUACUGUUAGGGUGCUGCCGGUUCACCAGAACUGGGGGAUGUCAGCCCAUCGCAGGAAACCACCCGGAGAAACUGCCUGGGACAGGCGCCAUCUGUCUGCAGCUCUGUCAUUUAGAUAGUCAAUGGAUCAGUCCACUGGGGCUGAGGCACAAACAGAGCUUGGCUUUGAUAUUUAGGAAGACGAAAGAUGCCUGACAGCUCCUUUCCAGGUUACAUUUGCACUCCUUGACUGUCCUUUGCUAUUGUUUCUAGAAAAAAAAAUAUAUUGAUUGUGAAGUGUUCCUUUGAUGGUGUGUUCUGUUAGCUUGCAAAUAAAUUGGGUCUGAAUCUAGUCUCA